UACGUAGGGGGCGAGCGUUGUCCGGAAUUACUGGGCGUAAAGGGUGCGUAGGCGGCCUUUUAAGUCAGAUGUGAAAGACCACAGCUUAACUGUGGGGUUGCAUUUGAAACUGGAAGGCUUGAGUAUCGGAGAGGGUAGUGGAAUUCCAAGUGUAGCGGUGAUAUGCGUAGAUAUUUGGAGGAACACCAGUGGCGAAGGCGACUACCUGGACGAAAACUGACGCUGAGGCACGAGAGCUAGGGGAGCAAACAGG
rnacentral:rRNA from 1 species